GAUGAACGCUAGCUACAGGCUUAACACAUGCAAGUCGAGGGGCAGCAUGACUGAAGCUUGCUUCAGUUGAUGGCGACCGGCGCACGGGUGCGUAACGCGUAUCGAAUCUGCCCGUUACUCGGGGAUAGCCUUGCGAAAGUAAGAUUAAUACCCGAUGUUGUCAUUAUGCCGCAUGACAUGAUGACCAAAGGUUUACCGGUAACGGAUGACGAUGCGUCUGAUUAGGUAGAUGGCGGGGUAACGGCCCACCAUGCCGACGAUCAGUAGGGGUUCUGAGAGGAAGGUCCCCCACAUUGGAACUGAGACACGGUCCAAACUCCUACGGGAGGCAGCAGUGAGGAAUAUUGGUCAAAUGGACGAGAGCCUGAACCAGCCAAGUAGCGUGCGGGACGACGGCCCUAUGGGUUGUAAACUGCUUUUAUAAGGGAAUAAAAGUGAGUCUCGUGAGACUUUUUUGCAUGUACCUUAUGAAUAAGGACCGGCUAAUUCCGU
rnacentral:rRNA from 1 species